rnacentral:rRNA from 1 species
AUCUUCCGCAAUGGACGAAAGUCUGACGGAGCAACGCCGCGUGAGUGAUGAAGGGUUUCGGCUCGUAAAACUCUGUUGUUAAGGAAGAAUACUUGAGGUAGUAACUGGCCUUGAGAUGACGGUACUUAACCAGAAAGCCACGGCUAACUACGUGCCAGCAGCCGCGGUAAUACGUAGGUGGCAAGCGUUAUCCGGAAUUAUUGGGCGUAAAGCGCGCGUAGGCGGUAAAAUAAGUCUGAUGUGAAAGCCCCCGGCUCAACCGGGGAGGGUCAUUGGAAACUGUUUUACUUGAGUACAGAAGAGGAGAGUGGAAUUCCAUGUGUAGCGGUGAAAUGCGCAGAGAUAUGGAGGAACACCAGUGGCGAAGGCGGCUCUCUGGUCUGUUACUGACGCUGAGGUGCGAAAGCGUGGGGAUCAAACA